rnacentral:hammerhead_ribozyme from 1 species
AUCCAAAUGACGAGUCUCAAAUAGGAUGAAACGCACAUCUAGGAU